CUCUUCUGGCAUUACUUAUCACGCGUGGCAGCGUGACAAACGAUGCUUGCUUUAUUCAGCUUCCAUGUAUAUCUCUUCUUCCUUUGCAGUAUAAUUGCUCUGUGUGGUUUCACACAUUUAGCUGUGGUCCGUGAGGGUUUUGAGCUCUGCUGUCUGGUCCCACUCCUUUGGCAUUGUUUGCUCCAACCUACCUGUACUUCUUUUUUUUUUUUGCAUAAACCAUGGAUUUAAUUUGCAAAA